UAUGUCAGAUGUUGUUAGUUUCUGUUAAGAAAGAUAAGGCAGAGUAAAGGGCUACAGAACAAUGUGUUGGGGAGACAGGGUCUGUCUUAGAGAAAGCAAUCAAUGACACCUUCAGUGGGGUGCCAUUUGAACAGAGGCCCAGUGACGUGGAGGAGUGAGCGUGCAGUGGCAGAGUGUUCCAGACAAAGAGACCAGCAAAUGCAAAGGCCAUAAAGUGACAGCAUGGUUGGUGUUUGCAAAGAAGAGAGUGGAGGCCAGAGGGGCUGGAUCCACACAAGGGAGAGCAAGAACAAGGACAAGAGUCUAGAGAGACGGCCCGGGGCCGCAUCAUAUGUCGGAAUGCCCUUUGUUGGAGUGACAAUGACAGAAAGAACCCCUCAAGAGUCCAGAGAUCAGACUCCCCCCAGAACACCCUCUACUUCACAGCUCCAGGACGCCUGUGGUCCGGCCAGAGCCCUCUCCAGAUCUGCUUUUGCUUUUCCUUGUUUUCAUUUUAUUUUCCUUGAGCAGUAGUUUUUGCAUCUGUUCUCCUGUACAAAAGACAAAUACAAGAGCUGCUAGGGCAAAGGACUCAUGAGACAUGAUAUCAGAGAGAAUGGGAAAGGGGCAUAGCAAAAGAAAAGGGUUAGAGAGGACAUUUUUCUCAUCAAUGGAGACAUGAACAUUCAGUGCCUCAUUUUUUAAAAAACUGCUGUAUGAGCUGAGAUUGUGCCACUGCACUUCAGCCUGGGCAACACAGUGAGACUCCGUCUCAAUUAAAAAAAAAAAAAAAAAAAGCUGCUGCAAACAUUAAUGACACCUGUAGCAAAUCCUCCUUCCUUGUGUAUUAAGAACUAGCACUUGUUCAGUUAAUCACUCUUGGUUACUUACUGAUCUUCAGAGGAAGCACCAUCUCCUUCCAGAUUUGGCUCCAUGGCUACCUGCAUCUGUUCUGCAUAGAGCCUGAAGGAAGGGCCUCUAAAAUGGCAACAAAUAACUAUUGCUAGAUCUAGGAAAGUUGUAGUGGCUGCCUCCCCUUGGGCUGUGCCUUAGUCAACAUUAUCUGCCAGGAGGGGCAGGCUGAGCGCAGGGGCAAGUAGUGGGGAGACUCCCACAGCGUGACCAGCCCGGGUCCAGGUCUCAAAGCCAUAUUUCCAUGCAGACACUGAAAAACUGGAGUGUCCCGAAGAGAAUGACCAGAAUGGUGAAAAGUUUAAAAACCUUACCAUAUGAGAAAUGAUUACAGAAACUGGUUAUGUUGAGCCUAGAACAAAACACUCACGGGAGCAUAGGUUCUCAAAUAUUUGAAGGGCUAUCACAUAAGCCCAGACUGUGUAACUGGGGCCAGUGGAGCAUAUCACUAAAAGGCAGAUAUUGACUCAUAUGAAUAAUAGGAUCUUAAAGCUGGAAGGAAAUCUGUAGUUACUCAGUUCAAGUUGUUUUAUUUCUCACGUGGAAACCGAAAUCCAAAGAGAAUGUUACUCCUCUGAAAUUACAUAAUUAGAGGCACAGUCAGAAUUACCUUUCGAUUAUCUAAAUCAGUCCAGUCCCUUCCACUGCACUAGAUUACCAAGGAAGAAUGUUCUGACAGUUGGGAAAAUCCAAAUAUGAAGUAAACUGUUUCAACGAAUCUGCUUAAGCAGAAACCAUCUCAGAACAAUACUGUAGACUAGAGACUUAUAAUAAUGAAUUAUAAAUGAAAGAAAGAAUGGGCAGGCACUGUGGUGUACACCUGUAGUCCCAGUUACUAAGGAGGCUAAAGUGGGAGGAUCACUCAAGGCCAGAAGUUCAAGACCAGCCUGGGCAGCACAGUGAGACCCCAUCUCUAAAAGAAAUAAAUAAUUAAAAUUAAGAAAUAAAAAGAAUGAAUGAAUGAAUGAAGAGACGGUCAAAAGAGGUCAAUGAAAGGAUUCUGCUAGGGUGUCAGAAAAAAAGCCAAGCUUUCUCUAAAGACAAUUUAUUCUAGCUUCCCUUCUUGUGCCUUUUUUAUAGUAUGUUGCUUUGGGAAGGUAUCAGAAUUGAAAAGAGAUGAUAGAAAGUAAUAAUCCCAUUACCAGGAAAAAAAACCCAGCAAAUCAGUCAAAUAAGUGAAUAUAACAUAUAUAGUCAUUAAAAAUUUUAUGUUCUUUAGGAGAUUUAAAAAUAAUAGGAAAACACUUACAUCAGUCAAGUUUCUUUGGAGGCAAGCAAUAGAAACCAACUCUGGUUUUAACUAAAGUAAAAGAGGAAAUGUAUUAGAAAGUUGUGAGUAACUUAGAGAACCAAGGAAAAUGUUGACCAAGCCUCAGAAAAGACAAAGCCAGGUAGAUAGAUAGUUCUGUUCUAUCUUCCCCAGUUGCUCACUGAAGAUUCAACUCCCAACCAACGGAGCCUGAUUGGCCUAUUUGAGGCCAAGGGCCCUCCUUUUUGAUGGGGUGGGGAGGAGUUGUAGGACAUCUUGUCAGAAGCAUUAACUGGGUUAACAAAAUAAAGUACAAAACAAAGUUUGAACAGGUAUCUGUAGAACAGGAAAUGCACCCAUCUGUUCAUUCAAUAAGCACUUACUAUGCACCUACUAUGUGUCAGCACCAACUGGGAUACAGGAAUUACUAAAUAGUAGCACCACAAACCCUGCCCUCAAAGAGCUCACAGACUGGUAAGAAAGCAGUGUGUCAACAAAGGAUUCCAGUGAGUUCACAGGGACACAGCCCCUAACAUGAGCUCAAAGGCACCUCCUGGCCUGUAAGACCUCAGUCCCCAAAGAGAGCCAGUCAGGGUCCCAGGGGAAAUGGUAAAAGGAGAAAGCAUUGCCUGGGAAUAAAACUUCAGCUGGCAGGAACAGAAGAUGGCAUGGUAUGGUAGUGUCCUGGGGCAGGCCUUCCCACAGCAGCAUCACACUUUUGUUUAACUGUGUUGCCUGAACACCAGGACAUCUCAUGCUGGUAGCUUGUCUUCAGAUUUCCCUUGAGAUAGUGCAGAAAAGGGAGAGCUGCUCACAAGGGCUGGGGGCUGGUUCCAUUCUCCUGGUGGUGGUUGGGGUGGUCCUGGCUGGGAGACCUGGAUUGAGAGGCUGAUGCUGUCCUGUCUGCCAGCCCACCCUGUUGGUCUUCAAGCCUGUACCCACUGGCUGGGCCUGCUUAGCCUCCUCAAGAGUCUUCCAAAGUCAGGUAAAGUCAUUUGAACUCAGCCUAACCAGAGAGAAAAUGAAGAGGUCGGAGCUCUGUCUGCUGGCUGACCCACUCAACCGUAUGCCCACCUUCAGUUGGCUUAACUGCAGGAGCUCAGAGUUCCAGCAUACUCACUGCAGUCCUGCUCCCAGGCCAGGGAGCCACUACCCCCGUUCCCACCCCCCAGCAAAGCAGAUACAACCAGUUGGUAGCCUGGACCUCUCUCUUCCCUGCUCAAAAAUACCUUGGGAUCCCUCCUGCCCCUCACUGAUAAAAACCUGACAGCCUAACAGUCCCAGAAAAUCCCUAACAACCCCCACACACACCCAGGGUGCUGGAUCCCUCCUGAGCACGGAGCACAGAUCCCCACAUGCAAGGAUGCCUCCGCCUGAGGACGUGAGAGAGGCAGAUGGCAGAAGGACUGACCGCAGGCCUGGUCACUCCCAGGAGAAGGACAAGAAGUACAAGGGAAGGACUGAGGCUCUUGGCUUACUUGUUGUCCUGAGGCCUGGGCAGUCAGGAGAAGGUAGAGCUCUCAUCUGUGCACUCAUCUGAGGGAAGCCUACACCAGAGGCCAGAGUCACCAGCCAGAGCCUCAGCCAGCUCCAGCCAGCUGCUAAUGGAGCGUUUAUUCUUCUGUAGGCUGCGUCUAGAAAGGACAAGCCUAACAGGAUGCCUGUCGGUCCAUUCCCUAUCCAAUUACCCCAGGAAGCCACAAGCACAGACAAUAUCACCCCUACAGCAAGGCAAGAAGGCUGCUGCCCUGGCCUGUACUGCAGAAGGGCAGCUCUGGCUCUCCUCCAUAGGCAAGAAGACAACGGUGCUUUCACCUGUAGCUCCCUCGCCCCCUUUUAGAUCACAUUUCAGAAAUACAGAUGGGAAUUCUGAAGAUGGGCUAAAAUGCCUACGUGUACCCUGAGUCUGAGGGUAGCUGAGGGGCAGUUUAUGGACAAGGCGUGGAGGAAGCUCGGGAUGUGCACAGCUGUGGCCACAAGGCUCUUCGCAGUGUGGGCUGGAGCUGCAGGUGAGAAGAGAAAGGAUCUGAUUUAGGCAGAUCUGAUCUGGGCAAGGGAGCCAGUUCUUCCUAUGCUGGGAGUUCUGGUAUGAAACCCCAAAGAGUCCAAGAUUUCUGAAUCCAAACCUAGCCUUCCAAGGCAUUGUGAAGGUAUAUUUGUCAAGCUAGGAGGGUAGAACAUAUUUUACGUAAUAAUGUGUUCACUCAACUUAUAAUUACAAAUGUUAUGGGUGGGCCUCAAUAUGGGGACCCCUCCCCCUGAACUUUUUCCAUCAUAAUUCCCUCCCACCCCCUGAACCUGACACCUUCCCCAUGACUAAAAGGAAACCCCCAGCUCUCACUGCAGCUCAAAAUGAGCACAGCAAUGUGGGUCUGGAAUCACACUCGGGACAGCGGGCUCUGAUUUCCUGGAGGACUGAUUCACGGGUCCACGGCACUCGUUCUCUCAACACGUCUUUAGUGAGUACACACUCCAUGCCAGACACACUAGGAACAGAGCUGUGGGCACGGCAGGCGAGUCUCUGCAUUCAUGAAGCUUGCCGACUAGUCAGGCAGAGACAGACACUGUACAAAUGUACACAAAUGUUUAAUUAAAACUGUGCUAAUCUCUAUAGAAGAAAAUAGCUGAAAACCAAGAGCCAGAAUAACAAGGGAGCAAAAUAUAGCUGGUGGGUGGACAGAGGGAAGGGCCUCCCUGAGGAAGGAGAGUCAAGCUGAGGCCAGUGGGGAGAGGAGGAGUCAGCAAAGCAAAGAGUGGGGGAGCUGCCAUGCUGGGAUUGAGCAUCCACAAAAGCCCUUCUAGAAAGAUCUCUGC
rnacentral:lncRNA from 1 species